rnacentral:rRNA from 1 species
CACAAACACACAUUGCCGAUGAAGGGCGUGCUAAUCUGCGAUAAGCGCCGGUAAGGUGAUAUGAACCGUUAUAACCGGCGAUACCCGAAUGGGGAAACCCAGUGUGAUUCGUCACACUAUCAUUAACUGAAUCCAUAGGUUAAUGAGGCGAACCGGGGGAACUGAAACAUNUAAGUACCCCGAGGAAAAGAAAUCAACCGAGAUUCCCCCAGUAGCGGCGAGCGAACGGGGAGGAGCCCAGAGCCUGAAUCAGCAUGUGUGUUAGUGGAAGCGUCUGGAAAGGCGCGCGAUACAGGGUGACAGCCCCGUACACAAAAGCGCAUGUGCUGUGAGCUCGAUGAGUAGGGCGGGACACGUGGUAUCCUGUCUUGAAUAUGGGGGGACCAUCCUCCCAAGGCUAAAUACUCCUGACUGACCCGAUGUANCCGUACAG